GGGGAAAGGCAGCAGGGACACAUGGGGACACUGAGACACUAGGGGACACUGAGACACUAAGGGACAUAUGGGGACACUGAGACACUAGGGGACACAGACACUAGGGGACACAUGGGGGCACAGACACUAGGGGACACUGAGACACUAGGACACAUGGGGACACAGACACUGGGAGACCUGGGAACACUGAGACACUUGGGGACACU